rnacentral:rRNA from 1 species
GACGAACGCUGGCGGCGUGCUUAACACAUGCGAGUCGAACGGAAAGGCCCUGCUUUUGUGGGGUGCUCGAGUGGCGAACGGGUGAGUAACACGUGAGUAACCUGCCCUUGACUUUGGGAUAACUUCAGGAAACUGGGGCUAAUACCGGAUAGGAGCUCCAGCUGCAUGGUGGGGGUUGGAAAGUUUCGGCGGUUGGGGAUGGACUCGCGGCUUAUCAGCUUGUUGGUGGGGUAGUGGCUUACCAAGGCUUUGACGGGUAGCCGGCCUGAGAGGGUGACCGGCCACAUUGGGACUGAGAUACGGCCCAGACUCCUACGGGAGGCAGCAGUGGGGAAUAUUGCACAAUGGGCGGAAGCCUGAGGCAGCGACGCCGCGUGCGGGAUGACGGCCUUCGGGUUGUAAACCGCUUUCGCCUGUGACGAAGCGUGAGUGACGGUAAUGGGUAAAGAAGCACCGGCUAACUAC